rnacentral:rRNA from 1 species
AUACGGAGGAUGCAAGCGUUAUCCGGAUUUAUUGGGUUUAAAGGGUGCGUAGGCGGUUUGCUAAGCGGGAGGUGAAAUGCCGGCGCUCAACGUCGGAAGUGCCUCCCGAACUGGUGGACUGGAAUGACUCUGCCGUGGGAGGAAUGUGUAGUGUAGCGGUGAAACGCUUAGAGAUUACACAGAACACCGAUUGCGAAGGCAUCUCACGAAGGGUUGAUUGACGCUGAGGCACGAAAGCGUGGGGAUAAAACAGGAUUAGAUACCCUGGUAGUCCACGCAGUAAACGAUGAUGGCUAACCGCUGGUUUAUUCGGAUCAGUGGCCAAGCGAAAGCGAUAAGCCAUCCACCUGGGGAGUACGACCGCAAGGUUGAAACUCAAAGGAAUUGACGGGG